AUGGAGAGACUUGUUAAUGUUCAUUACAUUGACAAGGAGGCAUUCUUGAGUAACAAUGCCGACACGGGUGAGGAACCAUUGGUUUUUGAUAGAAGCCCUAGCUAUGAGGAUGUUGUUGCAAAAGUGAGACAAGUCUUGAAGUGGAUGGACACCAAUGUUGAUGUUAAGUUAAUAGGAAGGUAUGAUGUUGGAGUUGGAGCCAAAUCUCGCUUGAAAAGUAUGCCUAUCACCUCGGAUUUGCAUUGGGAUGUAUACAAGGAAAAAGUAUCCCAAUCGGAAGACAAGUCACUUGAAUUGUUUGCCACCACUGAAUCUCCUCGGUUUACCUUUGAUUUGAACCGGCAUGUCUCUUCCCCAAUGGAUGACAUGAGCGUUGAGUUGUAUGCCCCCAAUGCUUCUAGCCAACCACCAACUAGCCAAGCAAAUGAGGUUGAGUUGUAUGCCCCCAAUGCUUCUAGCCAACCACCAACUAGCCAAGCAAAUGAAGUUGAGGUGAUUGCUAGUGACGGAGUAAUUCAAGAGGAUGAAGAUGCUUAUGAUGACGACGAAGAGCAAGAGGAAGGGUUUCAUGGCAAUGAUGUUGGUGACUUGGAUGUGUACAUAGCGCAAAAGGACAUGGAUCGUGGUCAUGAACUAAGUUUGUAA
rnacentral:rRNA from 1 species